rnacentral:rRNA from 1 species
GAUGAACGCUGGCGGCGUGCCUAAUACAUGCAAGUCGAGCGAACAGACGAGGAGCUUGCUCCUCUGACGUUAGCGGCGGACGGGUGAGUAACACGUGGAUAACCUACCUGUAAGACUGGGAUAACUUCGGGAAACCGGAGCUAAUACCGGAUAAUAUAUUGAACCGCAUGGGUCAAUGGUGAAAGACGGUGGUGCUGUCAGGUAUAGCUGGAUCCGGGCCUCAUUAGCUAGUUGGUAAGGUAACGGCUUACCAAGGGAACGAUGCGUAGGCGACGGCAUAGAGUGGUAGGCGACACUGGAGGUGAGACAGCGUCAUGACUACUAAGGGACGCAGCAGUCGCGAAUCGUACGCAAUGGGCGAAAGCCUGACGGAGCAACGCGGAGUGAGUGAUGAAGGUCUCCGGAUCGUAAAAAUGUGUUAUUAGGGAAGAACCAAUGUGUCAGUAGAUAUGCACGUAUUGACGGUAACUAAUCAGAAAGCCACGGCUAACUACGUG